rnacentral:rRNA from 1 species
CCCGCUCAGAAACUCAAAUGAAUUGACGGGGCCCGCACAAGCGGUGGAGCAUGUGGUUAAUUCGAUGAUACGCGAGGAACCUUACCUGGGCUCAAAUGUAUGUUGACGUAUUCUGAAAGGGAUACUUCUUCGGACAAUAUACAAGGUGCUGCAUGGUUGUCGUCAGCUCGUGCCGUGAGGUGUCGGGUUAAGUCCCAUAACGAGCGCAACCCCUAUCAUUAGUUGCCAUCAGGUCAAGCUGGGGACUCUAAUGAAACUGCCUACGCAAGUAGUGAGGAAGGUGGGGAUGACGUCAAAUCAGCACGGCCCUUACGUCCAGGGCUACACACGUGCUACAAUGGCCGGUACAAAGGGCAGCUACCUGGUGACAGGAUGCUAAUCUCAAAAGCCGGUCUCAGUUCGGAUCGGAGUCUGCAACCCGACUCCGUGAAGUUGGAAUCGCUAGUAAUCGCGCAUCAGCCAUGGCGCGGUGAAUACGUUCCCGGGCCUU